rnacentral:rRNA from 1 species
GACGAACGCUGGCGGCGUGCUUAACACAUGCAAGUCGAACGGAAAGGCCCUGCUUUUGUGGGGUGCUCGAGUGGCGAACGGGUGAGUAACACGUGAGUAACCUGCCCUUGACUUUGGGAUAACUUCAGGAAACUGGGGCUAAUACCGGAUAGGAGCUCCUGCUGCAUGGUGGGGGUUGGAAAGUUUCGGCGGUUGGGGAUGGACUCGCGGCUUAUCAGCUUGUUGGUGGGGUAGGGGCUUACCAAGGCUUUGACGGGUAGCCGGCCUGAGAGUGUGACCGGCCACAUUGGGCCUGAGAUACGGCCCGGACUCCUACGGGAGGAAGCGGUGGGGAAUAUUGCGCAAUGGGCGGAAGCCGGAUGCAGCAACGCCGCGUGCGGGAUGACGGCCUUCGGGUUGUAAACCGCUUUCGCCUGUGACGAAGCGUGAGUGACGGUAAUGGGUAAAGAAGCACCGGCUACCUACGU